rnacentral:lncRNA from 1 species
AGGUAUCCAUCGGGAUCAACUUUAAAUUUUUUUUUCAUUGUAGAUUCUUUUUCUCUAAGUAAAAUCUCAGUCUUUUGAACCUUUGAUCACACAUUGAUCUCUGACUACAGUGUCAACACUUGAACUGCAGUCUUUCUCCCUUUUGCUUAAUGUAGAAGAAGACAUCCUUCACCUUGGGCGUGUGGGAGGAUGGGAUGCCUAAUACUUGGGCGUAGGAA